CCCGCCUUGCAUCAACUG
rnacentral:miRNA from 1 species